AAUCAAUGGAUGUUCUGGUUGGGAUGCCUGCGCCGUAUGUCUGAGCCUUACCCCUAGAACUCAGUAAGGCAGAAGUAUCCUCUGUGGCCCUCACAUGGCUUCCUGUAUGGGUAUGGACCACCCAGGUGGUGUGUGUGUGUGUGUGUGUGUGUUGGGCAUGCAUGUCAAAAUUGUGUGUGCUUGCUAUGUGAGGCUGUACAGUUAUAUUUGCAGGAGCUGUAUUUGCAUGCGUUGCUUUUUUCUGAUCAUCAUCCAAUAUUGUUAUAUCAAAUAUACUGUUAUUAUGAAGCCAACAUUCCUCACAAUGGUACUAUUCCAAUUAUCCAAAUGUUAUCCAGCACCUCCAACUCCCAGAACAUUAGGACAAUUGUGUUUCACAUUUUGCCUUUCCAAUGUAAAUAAUAAAUAAAUCCACUUUAAUCCUGUGUCAAGAAUGUUUUUAUUGCAUUUGGGAUCCAUCCUUUUUCCCCCAUAAUGCACUUUAUAUAAAAAGCAGCAGUUGAUGCACAUCCAAAUAGUCAAGAGGUGCUGGCAAACGGAGAGGUACAUUUUAAAUAAAGUCGCAUAAUAUAUACGCUUCCAAUGAUUUAUUGGGUAUCGCUAACGUUUUCGGGAACAGUGCCUCCCUCAGAGCACGUUAUGCAAGUCAUCCGCAGACUGCAGAAGUGAUUGGUGAAAUUUUGGCUAGAGUGUGUUGUCGUCUUGAGGUCAUUUCAUUUCAGGUCCUCACUACAUUGGUCAGGGAAGGAGGCAGCCGGUGAUGUCAUUCCCCCUGAUUCUUACUCCCAAAGUUCACGUGAAGGAUGAGGUAAUGUGAUGUAACUGUUGGUCUGCCUGUGGACACAUGGUGGCAGUAUUGUCAUAAUGAUUCCAAUAUCCACAAGACAGCACAGACUACACCACCACGGCUACCUAAUAACAAUAUUCAGGGCCCAAACGGGUCCCUCGGGGACAGAUUUAACUCGUCUCUCUCUAAUGAUCCCCACCAGACUGCAUAAAAUUGCCUGUUAAGCCAUGAAGAUUAUUCCCUAGGGCCUAACCGAUUGGUCUGUUUAUUUUCACUGUGUGUGUGUGCAUGUGUGAGAGAGAUGCAAAUACAUGGAACGCAGAGCCUUAACAGUGUACGUGUGAGUGAGUACAUGUGUGUCUAGCAGGUCAUAUGUUCCUGUUUUCACCAGUUUACACCUACACAGACAGCUGCUACUCACAUUCUGAGACGGCGUUGAUAAGCAUUCCUCUCCCGUGGGCUGUUCCACUUUCAGAGCUGAUGCCAUUUGACCUGUGAAAGUUGACACGUGAAUGAUUCACCCAGUUAGGUCAUUUAAAUUGGCGGUUCCCCUCCUGCAGGCGGGCCAAUGGUUUGAAUCACUCACUGGUGACAUGGGGGAUGUGGAUACU
rnacentral:lncRNA from 1 species